rnacentral:rRNA from 1 species
UACGGGGGGGCAAGCGUUGUUCGGAAUUACUGGGCGUAAAGGGCUCGUAGGCGGCCAACUAAGUCAGACGUGAAAUCCCUCGGCUUAACCGGGGAACUGCGUCUGAUACUGGAUGGCUUGAGUUUGGGAGAGGGAUGCGGAAUUCCAGGUGUAGCGGUGAAAUGCGUAGAUAUCUGGAGGAACACCGGUGGCGAAGGCGGCAUCCUGGACCAACACUGACGCUGAGACGCGAAAGCGUGGGGAGCAAACAGGAUUGAGAUACC